UACGUAGGGUGCGAGCGUUGUCCGGAAUUAUUGGGCGUAAAGGGCGCGUAGGCGGCCCGCUAAGUCGAACGUGAAAUCCCCGGGCUUAACCCGGGAACUGCGUCCGAUACUGGCAGGCUUGAAUCCGGGAGAGGGAUGUGGAAUUCCAGGUGUAGCGGUGAAAUGCGUAGAUAUCUGGAGGAACACCGGUGGCGAAGGCGGCGUUCUGGACUGCAACUGACACUGAUGAACGAAAGCCAGGGGAGCAAACGGG
rnacentral:rRNA from 1 species